UGCCAGCCGCCGCGGUAAUACGAAGGGUGCAAGCGUUAUCCGGAAUCACUGGGUUUAAAGGGUGCGUAGGCGGUUAGAUAAGUCAGAGGUGAAAGGUUGUCGCUUAACGAUAAAAUUGCCUUUGAUACUGUUUAACUAGAAUUAGGUUGAGGUAGGCGGAAUUCAUGGUGGAGCGGUGACAUGCGUAGAUAUCAUGAGGAAAGUCAAAUGCGAAGGCAGCCUUCUGGCUCAAAACUGACGCUGAGGUACGAAAGCGUGGGGAGCGAACAGGAUUAGAUA
rnacentral:rRNA from 1 species